UGUCCCUAACGGUGGAGGAGGCGGUGGACACGGAGGCGGCGGUGGUGGCGGAUAUGGAGGUGGCGGAGGCGGUGGCCACGGAGGCGGCGGUGGUGGAGGAUGGAAAUCCGGUGGUGGCGGUGGAUGGGGCAAAUAAUCCAUUGGGGAAAUCGCAGCACCUUUCGUUCAUGAAUUUAAUUCGGUUUCAUUUUGUAUUUAGUUCAUCACUGAAUUUGUAAAUAUUUUUUGUACUAUGUGCUGUAAAUAAAUGCUCUUUUGCUAA